rnacentral:rRNA from 1 species
UCUACCGUGCGCGAGCGUGGCGUGCGUGCCGGUGCCGGUCCAGGUCUCAGUUACGUCUCGACUUGCGGAACUGUCUCUCACGUCUCGCAGGUGGCAUCGCCUCGCCGCCGCUGCCACGCUGUGGUACGCGCGAGGCCGCUAUGACGACGUGGCGUCGUGCCGGCGGCGGCCGGAGUCGCUCGGAGGCAGCGACGACGGCGGAGCCGGGCUCGUCGUCUGUAGCGAACACCAGUGGCACGUGAGCCUGUACCACCACUAGGACCGCAGCGACGACACGCAGGAGUCGACGCAGGAGCCGGAGCGGGAGGACAGGGCCGUGCGCACGGCGGCUGCUGGGAGACUGGCGAUGGGAGGAGGGGGGUGCCCGGAGUCCUUCUUCCGUUAGCUGCGCGAGGGGUGGCAGAGGAAGCGGCGCCGGCGGAGCAGCAGCAGCCUCACACGAUAUACGGACCGCCUUAAACGGCUGCCCCUCCGGCACGCGCACGAGGGUCCUACGCCGGUGCCGAAGGUGUAGCGGACGCAGCUGCGGACCGAGGCCUGCGCGCGGAGCACGGGCAGGACGGCCCGGAGGUAGCAACGGUGCGGGUACGUCUACGUCCAUGUCGGUCGCCGCCGCGGGUGGCACCAUCAGCAGCACCGUCCCUUAUCGUCCACGCCCUCUACGCCGCUCGACUGCCGCCGCCGGCCACGUGCGCGGCGCCUACCGCGCCAGAACCGAAUCAGUCCAAACAUCCAUGACAAGCGCACGAAGUAAAAUGAGCCGGAGACGAAGUAAAACCGUCGAGGAGACGUUUCGUUUUGAACACCACAAAUUCUAAAGUCAUGCGAUCUCGUUAAGUCUUUACACAUAUAUUUUUUUUCUAAUUAAUAACAGCUAGACUCAAACAAAUACCACGAGACGAGAGACCGGUUUACUUCGGUUACUUCGAAAUUAGUCAGAGGUAGUCGUAGUCGAACGGCAAGUAACGUUUUGUUCUACUAUCGUCGAACUGCCUACCUCCUAGGUUUCUGUUUCAUUUUUUCCUGUUUGAGUAGUAACAGAGACAACAAUAAAAAGGAAGAAGCUUUCUUAUCAAAAACAACCGACAGCAAGUUCGAAACUUGCAACUGCACCUAUGGUACAUAUUGACCGUCCUAAGGUGGGCUCUUUUUUUUCUUUGACCGUCCUAAGUCUGUCAGUACUGUCUCGUUCAGUCAGAGUGCCAAGAACAAAAAAAAAUUGUGAUCUAAUCAUAUCUACAAACGUUAAUUAACGUUUUAAAGAGUGGCUCGCGAUUCAUCCGAACGCCAUCAGUUACAUCUAACUUUCCGUUUUAAACAGGAGGUGUUACGUGC